rnacentral:lncRNA from 1 species
GAGGGAUUUUGCCAGGGCUAAGGGGAGACUGAGAGGGACCUGGAGCAGAUACUGAAGCCGGAAUGGAUGCAGUGGAGGUCUGAGCAGCUUGCAUUUUCCUGCGGACACUUUCUUCCAGCUCACGGACUGAUUUUCUUCUUUGAGGGAGUUUCAUCUUUGGGGCCAUUCUCACCACAAGAGCAGGCAGGGAGACUCGGAAGAUCAAAUGGGUGAGGAGAAGGAGGGUCACUAGAGAAUGGAAAGGGAUUUUGGCGGAGAGAAAAGAUGGGUUUGAGAAGAACGGUGGAAGCUAGGGCACGCUCCAACCGCUUCAAUCAAGGGAGAAAGAUGCGAGAAGCUCCUUUCUCAAAAGGUGAUUUGAGGUGGAGAGGAGAAGGGAGAAUGCUUUAGGGCUAAAUCCUUGGUUUUGGAGAGAAUGAGGAUGAGGACGAUGAGUGUUGGA